CCCCCCCCCCCCCCCCCCCCCCCCCCCCCCCCCCCCCCCCCCCCCCCCCCCCCCCCCCCCCCCCCCCCCCCCCCCCCCCCCCCCCGCGGGGCCGGGCCGGGGAGGAGCCCGGGCCGAGACCCAGCCCGGGAAGGACGAGCGGUGACCCCUCAGAACGCGCAGGGCCGCGGCUCGCCGGCAGCGUUUGUUUCCUCGCGCCACGCAGCCCCGGCGGGGAACUGCUGCUGCCACGGCAUUCCGUGGUUGCAGGCCGCCUCCCUCCGCCUUCAGAGGGCGCUUUGGGAAAUCCAUGAAACGUCCCCCCGAGCUCCUACGCGGAGAACUUUAAAUCUCCUUUCGCUGAAACUGCAAUACCUGCAGAGGGCGGGCACCUGCCCGCUGCCUCGAGCUCCGUUACGCCGGGGAUACCGAGUACUCUGCGUGUGGAAAAAACAAACCAACUUCAGCUUCGCGAUGUGUAAUUACAUACACUGAAUGCCGGAAUUGUAUGAAAUACAAACCUUUUUGUAUUCUCAAGGAAGAAUUAUGUGCCCUUCAAGAAACUACUCUGAGAAGCCUGUUUUUUCUGCAUUGCAGAUCUAGCCCCGUAAUUGGAUCUUCUCAUGCUUCAACCUUAAGCUGAAACACAAUGCUGUCGGGAAUGCUCUUUCUUGGCUUUGCGGCAGUUGAAGUGCUCUUGGGUUUUGGCAUUACAAUGCUUUUGCACUGGUGCCAAACCUGACGAUGAACAACGUCUAUCAAACACGACAAGUUAGUGCUCAAUUCAGUAUGAACAUAACAAGGAUCACAUCUCAAAGCACUACACUUCUCAAUCUGAUGAGCUGUCUCAGAAACUAAAAAUGUGAUGACAAAGAAGUAUUUAUAGGUAUAGCCUUAGCUGUGCAGAAUAUUAAAAAUAGCAUUUAAAAAGCAUAGUCAUGGACAAAUAGGUGCUUUAACAAAGGAGGAAACUGGAUGCAUUAUUUAACAGAGAGUUUUCAAAUAUUCAAGCAGUGUUAUUACAGAAGAACACUUAAAAUACAUUACUACCACUGCAAGACAGAUUUCCAUUCAUUCCUCUUGCAAUCUUAUGAAUGUAUACAAUAUUUUAUUCUGAUUUUCAUAUACUCAGUGGUAUUGAGAUACUGGUAAAAGGAUCAUAAUUCACAGAGAAAAUAUUAUCCUAGUUUCUGCUGUGUGGACUACUUUCUGCUAUGUCUGAAUCUAAACUUAAGGGAUAAUUUCUGUAAAAAUACACUUUACAACAGAAAGGUCAUAUUUAAAGACUGGCAUGUGAGUUACUGACCCAUCAAAGCUACAUAAUAAUUGCUCAGAUCUCUUCAGUGUUGACUAAUUCGUGAAGAAAUGAGAACUUGAGGGAAUGAGAAAUGGCAACUUGCUGCUUUAGGAUGAAGAUAUUUCAUUAGAAACAAAUACACUGAAUAGUGUAUUCCCAACUGAAUAGGGCAACUCUUGAAUCUAUUGCAUUGUAUAACAAAAUUGCUUAUCAAAAGUCAUUGUUGAUCAGUUCUGUUUAAACCAGAAAGAAAGCAGGGCUGUUAAUAUAGUGUUUAAAAGCAUUCAGUGUUCUACCUCUUCAGUCAGUAAUACAAGGGUACAUAAAUCCUGCUAAAGACAUGACACAUAAAAUUAGGCCUCAGUAGGAAAUCCUAGAGACAGUAUUUUUCUUUCUUCCAAGAAUAUCACAGCCCAGUCCUUCCCAUUUUCAUAAUAGAACUAAUGAGAUUAUUAAUUACAUUCUUGCACCACUAACACUAAGCAAUUCACCGUUUUAUUUUGCAAAAUUUGGGCACAGUACUCAGGUAAAAAUUCUAUUAAAUUUCCACAUAACUCUGGUAUUCCAUUUGUUCAAAUUGUUUAUUUUACAUGACCUUUAUCCAGGGUCCAGUGAGAAAGAUCUCCACAUACUUCAAUUUAUACUUUUUAAAAGACUUCUUGAGCUUCCUUAAUGAUUGACUUACACUUAUUCCUCUUUGUUUCAUCCCUGUCAUAAAAUGAGAGAUAAUCUUCCAACUUAAGACUUUGUAGCAGCAGUUGAUAUAACUCAAGUGGAUGGUAUCACUUUGCUUUCAAGCAGAGUCUGAAGAUUUUCAGAAUGGGAGGUUUAUGGGGAGGUACUUUAUUACCUGAAACUCAGGUCAUGCUAAUUUUUAUCAGGCCAUUUUGUAAUGGCCUUCAGACUUAAUUGAAACUGUCAAGUAAGCUAUUUUUAUCAGGCCAUUUUGUAAUGGCCUUCAGUCUUAAUUGAAACUGUCAAAUAAGCUUAGACUUCACAUGUAAGCACAGAAGGCAAUAUUGAACAUUCUGUGUGUGAGCUAGAAGAGAGGGAAUUUUUACAUGAAAAUACUCCUGGUGCUCUGAGGAAAAUUUAAUACUACUACUAAAUAAACAAAAUCCCAUCUUCAUUUUUUUUGCUCUCCUUUGAAAGAGAGCAUUUUUGGGCAGAUUGUUCAAUACAAACAAGCCUUUUAUAUGUGGAACAUUAUGGGGUAUUGGAGAGGUUUUAUGUUGAAUUAUUGAAUUUAAAAAAAAAAAACUUACGUAAUACCACGGGUAGAUCACAUUUUCAGGAAAGAUCAGAAACCAUUGUCUUGUCACAGGAACUCUGAAGAUCAGAUUACUCUGUGUUUAUGCAAUGUUCUUUGUCUUCAGCAGUUGCACUCCAGUAACUUUUUUUAAUUUACUGUAGGUACCUGAUUUAGACUUAUGUCACUUUUUUCCCCUAAGCAAUCUCUUCAACUUAGUCUAACUCUUCUUUUCCCACUGCAAGUAAGGCAUGUGAGAGAAAGGUGCAGUCAUUAACAUUUCCUGUGAAUCCAAUCCAACCAGCCUUUCUCAUUGCUCCAUUUGCAGAUGGUUACUUAAUCUACACUGUUCAUGGCCUUUCCUCCCUCAGAAAUUUCUAUUAAAAAAACCCAAAACUUACAUCCUUCAAGGUUUGAUAUUCAUAAUUAAUCCUUGAAAGAUUCCAAGGAUCCUCCAAGGAUCUCCAUAGUUACCAACAUGACAUCCAGACAAAGGAGCAUGAGUGAAGGAAGAGCUUACAAAUUUGACCAAUAUUUUAAACUCUUAUAAGCAUUUUAAGUUCCAUGGGCACACUGUCCCAUGUAUUUACUGCUAUAACACUCUCAGAGAACUUAAUUGCCACAAUAACCAGACCGCAAUUCUCACUCUGGUGCACUUCAUUUAGAUUAAAGAUACAUUGGCAGCUAUAGUAAAAAAAAAAAGUAGAAGAAAAAAGAAAAAGGCAUUGAAAAAUAUUACAAGGUGAAGACAGAAAAACACUUCUUUUUUAAUUUUCAGCACAGCCCAAAAAGUAGACUUUCCCACUUGGAAAAAAAUAGGAAUGAAGCAGAAUAUAUUUGCAUUUCAAGUGACAAAGUUUAAAAAUCAAAAUAUUUUAAUAACCACUAAUUGUGAGACAUCCCCGUGCUCAUUUACUCUAUCUUGGACUAGCAGCUAGUCUACAGCUGAAAGCCAGUUUAACACAUUCUGCAAGUUUUUGAGAGUACAUUACCCUUAUUCUGUAAUUCCAGCUACAUGAAUACAACACUGUAAAUAAAAUCUAUUUGAAAGCCGUGGCUGUACUAUACAAAUAAAUUAUUAUAUGGAGUUAUAGAGAGCUAGCAUGCUGGAAAUGCUGCCUCAUUCCAGUUUAUCCAGACUCACACAUUUCAACUCUUAGGCUAUACAAAUAAUUAAGUAAAACCAGUCAUGUGAUUAUGUGAUAAAUUAAUAGUUUUUUUUAAAGUUGCUUGUAGAUUAAGCUACUAGACCGUGCAUUUUUUUAAAUAAAUAUGCAAUCCCAGAAAUACAACUCAUUUAAAACUGCAUUUACACUUAAUGAUAUAUUUUCAUCCAGAUAAAAAUAAAUACAUGUUCAAGAACAAAACCAAAUCUCUUACUAAAUGGUUUGCAGAAUUUAUUAAGUCUCUUUUAAUAUACUCCAUACUUUAUCAAGCUAAUUGCAUAUAAAGUGAUCUCCACCAUAUACAUUACAGUUUCUGUGCAUCAUCUAAAAAAAAGUCACCAAAAAGUAAUAUUUUACAGGUUGCAGUUAACUUUUAAUUAACCUAAAAGUGAAUCCUUCUGUAAUUUAAGACACUAACCUGCACAUUGUGUCUAACUGCAGUAUUUAAAUUAUGUUUCACAGCAAGCUAAACCUGCAUUUCAGGGAAAAAUGUCACUGCCAUCUCAACUUCUGAACUUCUAGUCUACUUCCUUAACACCGCAAAAAAUUAAUGUGGUGUUCACUCCAAAUAAGGAAAGAAGUAUACAGUUCCCUUAAAACAAAGCCUGCUCAGAAUACAUAUGCUUUAAAAAAAUUAGGAAACUCCUCCAAGUAAAAGGAAUUCACCCAAUGUAUGAAUCAAAAAAACCUUUUAAGUUCUUCUUGAUUAAUGCUUGGUGCUGCUCAUAAAAAGCAAAACCAGCAAAAAGUGAAUUAGUACUGGAUAUGACUUAAAGCAAAGAAAAUUAGAAAAAUAUUAUACCUGCAACAAUCAUGUCCCAAUUUAGAUCAAUCUUUUAAAGGGUCUCAUAUAGAUAAUUAACAAAUAGAUUUUCUGGUAUUUUCAUAGGAUGCUCAUUUACUGGCCAGGCACAUAUAUUGUAAAUAUACAAAGAAUCCAGAGUGCUGAAGUUUACAGAGCACUUAAAGGAUUUAAUAUAACAGAGGUGGUUAGACACAGGAAAAAUAUUUAACAACUUGUAUAAAUAUAUUAAAAUCUCAGCAAGAAAUGUAGGAGCCCAUGCACACAAGACAGUAAAUCGAAGAAAACAUUUAAGACUUGACUUCUUCCAACAGCACCGACACCUGAAUUCUGGAAAGUCAGCAAUUUACAGCAUCUUAUAACCAUCUCUCUCCACACAAUCUAAAUGUACUGAAUCAUACCAACAUGACAUAGCACAUGAACAAGCAGCAGAUGCAUCAAGGGAACAGGAGCUAUAUGCAUCAUGUGGCCUGCCCAGUUAGAGGCAAACAUCAGAAAAAUUGUUUCUGAUAUAGGCUGAGAUACAAUCAAUAGAGCUAAUUGUAUACCCGUCAUUUUCAAGAGUUAAUCCACAGUGUGGGAAAGGGGAGCUUUAGGUAAAAAUUAUGCACCCAGUCUCAGAAAUGACAGAAGCAGAGAUUUGUCUUUCAAAAACUGGGUCCAUUCUGGACUGGCCUUGAUGCACAUGCAGUACA
ensembl:lncRNA